GGGUUGUGUAACAGCUGAACGUUUCCUCCAACCAUCUAUGAACGAUCCGACGGAGGUCUACUUGGGCUUUGUUGGGGGGUUCAAGAACACAACGUCACACAAAUGGGGCGUUUUAUUGACACCCCCUCGAGAUGGGCGACUUUCAUGACUCACACCCACACCCUUAAUCUUUCAGAUUUGGGUUUGGAUUUUCCAGCUACCCCGCUGCACCACUCUGCGGCAAAUCACCAGAUCACUUCUUUUUGGUGUGAAUGCCCACUUAUACAGCAGCAGUCACUGCGGUUCAUGCAGGAAUAAAGACAUUGAAUACAUAGGAAUUACAGCGCUUUACUUUUCGUAGCUCUACGUACGAAUGGUUCCCGAGAACAGCCUGAUUAUAGAUGGAUUUGAUGACAUUUCGUACUAACCCUCCUGUUGUCCUG